rnacentral:lncRNA from 1 species
ACUUGUCGCCCAGCUGCGAACUGGAGCGGGAGGCGGCGGCCGGAGGGCCCAGGACAGCCCCGGGAGGGCGGCGAGGCGGAGCAGGAGCGCCCCGGCUCCGGCCACAUUCUCAGAGUCAGGAAAAGGGGCGAGAGGCCACAUGUCUCCCUCUCGCCCAACUGAAAACGAAACGGCGCUCCAGCAGAUUGGGUGGAAAGAGCUGGGUCUCUUUUCUCUGUUUUUCACGCUAGAAAGGGCUUGUAAACAUUGUUCCUUUUAAAAUGACCUACCCCAGGCAUUUGUUUGGGCACACUUCUGUCCUGGGGUCAUCGUUCCUAGGUGGCUUCGGACCUGGGACUUUUCCUGUAUCUGCACAUUGUCGUUUUAUACACAAUUGCCAAGGUGGGACUGCUUUCAACUUUACUGUGCUUGAAGCUGCAAAGGUAAUGUUGCCGCCGUGCGUGUCAUUUUAGGACUUUUUAUGCCUUGCGGGUAAUACUAAUGAUGGUCACAGGGAGGAUAAACGGGGUGGUUUCUUUUUCUAUACUCCAUGUAACUAAUUUCUCAUUCAGGUUAGAAAAUUAUAUGUCUGGUUACUAAUAUUCUUACUGAAUGGUUUCCUUGCAAUGAUGACACCAAAUAAUUAAAACGUACUUGAUUAAGACUUUUGUUGCUGUAGUGUACUAAGAUCAGAUUAAUCUGAGAAGUAAAAUAGUAAUUUUUUGUCCUUUUUUCUUUUCUUGUUUUGAGAGAGACAUUAAAAACGAUUAAAACAAAACAAAACAGGCCAGGUGCGGUGGCUCAUGCCUGUAAUGCCAGCACUUUGGGAGGCUGAGGCGGGUGGAUCGCUUGAGGCUGGGAGUUUGAGACCAGCCUGGCCAACAUGGCAAAAUCGUGUCUCUCCUAAAAAUACAAAAAUUAGCUGGGUGUUGUGGCACGUGCCAGUAAUCCCAGCUACUCAGAAGGCUGAGGCAGGAGAAUCGUUUGAACCUGGGAGGAGGAGGUUGCAGUGAGCUGAGAUCUCACCACUGCACUGCAGUCUGGGUGACAGCAAAACUCUGCCUCAAAAAAAAAAAAGGUUUAACAAAAGCCAAAAGUUGAAUUAGCAGCCUUCUGAUCAUGGGAAUGUAGGAUGUCAACUAAAAAGAACCUCAGAGGUUGGGAAGGCAGAUGAAAAACUGAGGCCCCGAAGUGUUUCAAGACUUGAUUAAAUCACUCAGGUCUGCACUAGGAAGCGAGUUAUGAUGAUGCCCCUAAUCUAUAUGAACCCAAAUAAAGCCAAAACACACACACCUUUUAAGGAUAAAACUAUAUUCCAUUAAAAUUAGCCCCGCAUUUGUCAAUAUCUAACAGCAUUGGACUGACCCUCAGGCCAGAGGCUGUAGCUCUUGGAAGAUCCUAGCCAGGAGGUUUGAGAGUGGCCAGUACCUCGGAAGUGCUGGCUCACUCUGACAUCAUCAGAACCUGGCAUACAGUAGGCGCUCAUUGGGUAUUUGCUAUGGAAAUUAGGCAGGAAAGUGCGUCUGUGUCUGGAAACAAAGAGGCAAAGCUUAAGCAGUGAUCCCCAUGCAGAUUCUUUCUGCAAACUACAAAACAGAAGCUUCCCUAGUUCAGACUGCCAUCCAUCUGGCUCUUUCUCCAAUUGUUUUUCAGCGGAUCCUGUUACAGUGCAAAGAAGAAAUGGCAAACGGAUAACAGCUACUGUGCCUAGAAGAUGGUUCUGCCCUGAUGUUUCCUGGAAUAAUGCUGAGGACUGCCUUUCGGGUAGCCGCCCUAUUCAGUUCACUUCAUCUCGGAAAUACCUGACCCCUGCCUUGGAUCCAGCGGCCCUCCUGAGAGCUGAGGAAGGAGGAAAUCCUAUGUGUCUGCUCCCGGAGCUGCCACAACCCAUCUUCCCACAACUCGGAACUUGGAAAAAGGAACCCAGGACACGACUUUGCUUUUCUUUUGGACCUAGUUGGUGAUUAUACUCUGUCUCCCAUGGAGACCACGUCUUGCAUCCUUCCUUCUAUAUGGGAUUUAGGAUAGAAAUUAAAAAGAAAACAUAUUAUUUUGAGUCUUGAUUUGGAGAAAGGUAGUAUUCAGGAGGAAGUAGGCUAUGAUACACAUAGAAAAUUUGAGGACAGUGUUACUUAACAAGGACAUUUCUGUCUCUGCAGAAGUCACAGCUUGGAGGAAACCAGUUUGCACUAUUUGAUGAGGAAUUUGGCCACCAAACCACUGAUACUUUCCCAAAGGUUUGGCAGAAAUUGUUUUUUGAGUGGCUCACCAGAGUACCCAGAAGAAUCAGUAUGGAAUUAGAGGACAGUGGCCUACCCUAAAUAAAGACAUGAGUGAUGUAUAAAGUCUAGUGUCAAUUUAUUCAGAAAAUAUCAAAAUUAUUCUGGGAGCUAUGGGUCAAAGUUGAUAGGCACAAACAAACAAAAACGAAAGGUAUUUUAAAUUCACAGCUUGGAUAAGUAAAAGGGAGAUGUUGUCAUUUCUCUUCUUCAAUCCAACUUUAGAUUUUCAAGCCGGAAAAAGGGUAAUUAGAAGUUAGAAAUUGUUAUUGCCAGAAAAUAGCUCUAAACCCUGAAAAAAAAAAAAAAAAAAAAAAAAACUGACCCUCCUCUUGGGGAGUGAUAAACCUCAAUUACUGUUGAUAGUAAAACUGAUAUCAACUCUUCGAAACCAGUGAAAGGUGAAUGGAAACCUUACCCUAGGUUAAGGUUUAAAAAAUGUUCAUAAUAUAUAUUUGAAAGUUCCAUUAUUUAAAAUAUUCAUUAGACAUGCUUUGUAAUGUUAAGUUACUUCAAAAAAUCUUACACAAGGGAAGGGAAGUAUGUAUUAUUCCUUCAUUUAAGAGAAAGAUAAUGUGUGAAUAUUAGUUAAUAUUUAUCGUACAUUUACUACCUGUGUCGAAGCGUAGUGUUACACACUUAAUUUCAAUUAUUUAAUUUGAUUCUAACAAUGAAUCCCCUGAGAUGGAUAAUAUCCUCUUCAUUUUACAGAUGAGACAAUUGAGACUUAAAGGUUAAACAAAUGAUUUCCUAAGCUCAUUCAGCUAAUAAACGGUAGGGGACUGCUUGACACCAGUCCAGUUGACCCUCAAAUCCAUGAUUUCUGCCACCAUAUUCACAGAAACAAGACAAGAGCUGAAAAUAUAGCCUGACUCUUGAAACAGUCAAAGAAUUGUGUAUGUUUAUGAAAGUUCUGAUUAAUAAGAUAUUCUGAGGACAAAAGACAAGGCAUGGGUAGAGGGGCAAUGUGUAGAUUAGAAUGUAUCACAAUGCCCACUAAAUAGUAAAACCAUAGAAAAUGAAAUUUAAUCCUUACUGUGUAGAAUAUUUAGAGUAGAUUGUUUUUUCCUCGGUGUCAAUUACUAUUACAACUAUCAAAGAAUGAAAUUAAACAAGAAACGGUUCCUUUGGUUUUUUUUUUUAAAGGUGGGAGUUAUAAAAACAGUAUUUGCCAUCUGGUUUUAGUUAUGGCUGUGGAAAUUCUAUGGGUACAAUUUGUUGUCAUUGUUGUUACCACUACCAAUACAGAGAUGCUAAUUGUAACAUCAGUUUCUAAAUCAGAUAGUGAAUAAUUACAUUUUCAAUGUUUUCUUAACAUAGAUACAAGUUAACAGGAUAUGCUUCUGGCCUGUUUCUGGAUUCUAAGGGUAGAACCAGCAUAAAACUAGUCAGUCCAAGUAUUUCUAAAGAUCCACAGACACAGUUCUCCUGGAUUUGGGAAGCCUAGAGAUAUUAGCACAAUAAUUAAGGCCCAACAACUUUUAAAAGCCUUUCCACUGCACAGUGAAAGAAAACCACAAACUCCUUGUUUAAUAAGUGGGAUCACGUGCUUUUAACACGAGGAAAAGGUCAAUCUGAAGCAACUGAUAUGGAACUGCCAGAGUAGGAGUUGAAAAUCUUCCUAAACUGCUGGAGGAUACACCUCUGAUAGCUUGAGACAAAUAUCCUCUUGAUCAUUGUUUCACCAUAUUUGUCUUUGCUCAUGGAGAACCAUUUUGAUCCGUGGUUUAGCCUCCCAGGUGAUUGAACAAUACCGGUGAUCUGAGGCAGACCCUCUGUGACGGAUAACAGAAAAGAAAAUUGAGGAUCAGAAAAUACGCACAAUUUGCAAAAACCAUGGGAAAGAAUAUUGAUUGAACAUCUACUCAAGAACUGCAAAACAGAGAUUACCUGACCUAAAGAUGAAUCCAGGAUUCGGUGGUGCCUGUUCCAGGAACCUUUAGUGUGAAGGAUCCUCCAGGAGUCCAUUCUCAAUUUUCUGUGCAAAUUGGGGAAGGCUGUUGAUAAUCGGUGGAUGCUAUAGUGCCCAUGGAAAGACUCUAGUCUGAAGAUACCAGUCUCUCCCUCCCAAGAUCACCUCCCCUGACCAACCUUCUGCACUCCUGACAGAUACAAGGGAGCAAGCAAGUUGCACCCAACCUAAUAGUAAAUUGCAGGGACAUUUCCAUUCUAAGGAAGGAAUUUUUGUGUGUGUUGCAACUCAGCUUCUGCUCUGGCAUUUUGCUGUGCAUUUAUAUUGCCAAUCAUGUUGGAGAGUCCAUGUGGUGAUUUCUGAAAACGAGAUGUGAGAAAGAAGAGGAUAAUUUAAGUCUAGACCUACAGAUUGUGCUGAUAAAGUGAUGAAGAACUACAAUCUUCUUAGUCAUUUCAUUGUAUAAGUGCAAUAAAGGAUUUUGUGUCUUUCCUGGCAAACAACUUGUGACCACAGUGAUGGCUCCAGCAGAAUGGAAAAGACCCUUUACCUCACAUCUCAGAAGUAAAGAUGCUGAUUAUUUGACAUCGCCAUUGGAAUCUCAAAACAGUGUAAAGCAUUUGCUAAAAAGAGUCACUUUCUGAGAAAUGACUCAGAAUUCGACUUACGUACUAGCAGAACUUAUUGCCCAUAAAAGGAAAGGCCACACUUUUUGUGAAAACUUAAUAAUCCCUAGGAUGUAAAAUUAUACUGAGUUAAAUCCUAGUCCCAUUUUUAGUACAAGAAACUGGAAAAAAAUAAUCCACUCUCAAAUGGUAAGACAAAUUGAGAUAUUGCUGAAAAGCCUCUUGACCCUGAAAAGUUCUGAAUAAUAAACUGAUAAAAGCAGCAGCAGCAUCUAACUUGACACCAGUCAUGUCAUUUGUAAGUAAGGUUGGUAAAUAGUAAUGAAAUUCAAGCAAUAUUUUCAGCUAUGAAGAGCUGCUCAAACCAAGCAAAGGCCAAGAUCUACUUUAAAUUUUGUCUACGUAUCUUUAAACAAGGCAUCUGUCUUGGGGGCAUUGUGUUAGCAUCUGUACCGGUAACACCUCAUCCAGGGUUGGCUUGAUAAGAGGCUUCACAUUUUUUGUAGAAUAAGAAAAAAACCUGGCAUUGUCACAACACACUGAUUUGUUCAUGCAGUAGUGCUUGGGGUCAAAAACUCUUGGAAUGACCAGGCAGAGUGGCUCACACCUGUAAUCUCUGCACUUUGGGAGGUCAAGGUGGGCGGAUCACUUGAGGUAAGGAGUUCAAGACCAGCCU